GGAGGGAUGGCCGAGUGGUUUAAGGCGGCGGUCUUGAAAACCGUUGUGCGGGAAACCGUACCGGGGGUUCGAAUCCCUCUCCCUCCGCCA
rnacentral:tRNA from 1 species